CUCCGCUGGGAGUUUCCUCCACCCCAUCGAGUUCGAGUUCCUCCCCUCUGAUUCCUCUUCCUCUCCGCCUAAGGUUUCCGACCCCGAUCCCAUUACGCGACACCCGUGAUCUGGAAGCGUUCCGUGGCAGACAGGCGCGGCGCCAUUUCGAGGGGCGGCGGUGGAUUCUGACGAGGGAGGUGCGUCUGUCAGCAACCUAUUAUUUGAGGCGAAGUGGAGAGAAGAGAGGAAGGAAGGGCAGGAAUCAUGAUGACGGUGACCCGAAGCGCGGUGAGCACCAUGUUCAUUGUGUUCGUCUGCACUCGCCUAAUCUGCGCAAUGAUGCACCUCAGGGACACCAGAAUGGCUUUCCUUGCCGCCACCAGAUCCGACCUCGGCAUUGCACUGUUUCGAUUUGUUACUUUGCGCUGUGUGGAUAAAGGAGACCCUUUUCUCUACGAGCUAUGUUGUUCUGUUUAAGUACAUCCUUGUGGUGGAGUGGGCUUGGAUCAAUGCACGCCCGCGCCCGGUUUCCAGCAUUGAUUUCCCUUGAGACAUAAAUGGGGGCUGCAAAGCGUACUUUUUUUCCUUUUAUUGUUUUCUUGUUCUUUUGGUAUCCCUGGGUCUGAGCCGAUGGUCAUGAGUGACGAUAGGAGGGAGGUGUACAAGGCCUUGCGUCAUUGGAAAUGUUGUUUUAAUUUUACUGUUUUAUUGGUCCUUUUGAUCAUUUGUUUGCUUUUUCUGGACAAUCAGGAUGCAUGAAAUCUAAUCGAGUUUGAGUGCCUUUUAGCACUGGAAUUACCGAGAAAAGAUUGAUAUUGUACAGCUAGAACAUGGGGUCAAUGGGCUGGAACCAGUUGUAGUUGCUAAUUUUCCAAUAAAGAAAUUUGGUGAUCAGUCCCUUGCAUUGGGCCAGGAGGCACAUUGAGGUGUACCAAGAGACGGAUGUUUUGCGCAUUCUUCCAUCUUGUGGCCAUACAUUCCAUGUUACUUGCAUAGACAUGGCUGAAACAACAUUCAACAUGCCCUGUCUGUAGAAUUUCAUUGCGAGAUUCUCCUGAUAGAGAACAUGCACUGUGACCUCUCUACAGUUCAGCCACCAGAACCUUUUCUCACCCUGAAACCUUUGUUGCAGAUCCAUGCCACUAUCAAUUUGCACAGUCAUGUUACUCCCAAGGGUAGCAGAAAACCAGAGAACCGUCUCCCCUCAGGAAGACCAGUUGAUGUCGUUGCCAUCUGGAUCCAGUUAUAAUGCCUUCUUGAUCUGUAGCCAACUGCUCCAUAUCAAGCAAAAACAAGAUACAUCAAGAAUCUACAAAAUUCUUUGCCACUCAAAUAACAGGAAAUAGGAUAUGCUUGAGAUUGAUCUCCAUGCCAAAUACAUAGGGAUUGAAGGGAUUUAGAAGCUAACAUCAUAUCUGUACAACUGUUUGUCGUGAGCUGCAUGCUGCUUUUUAUCCGGCAUGAUGUUUGAGGGUCAGUUGUUGGAGAUUGUUGAAAUGGGUGGUUUUUGGUAUUCUGCUAUAAAAUCAUGAAUUUUGAUGGUAUAUACUUCUGAAGACUGAUUAAUCUUUUUAUAGAC